rnacentral:lncRNA from 1 species
ACAGGCGCCCGCCAUGAUGCCCGGCUAAUUUUUUGUAUUUUUAGCAGAGACGGGGUUUCACCCUGUUAGCCAGGAUGGUCUCAUCUCCUGACCUCGUGAUCCGCCCGCCUAGGCCUCCCAAAGUGCUGGGAUUACAGGCGUGAGCCACCGCGCCCGGCCUAAUAAAGGACAAUUUUUAAUAGCCACUGGACUAUUUAAGUGAUCUCUUCUGUCAGUUUCUUUUACCAUCAGAGGACACAGCAGCAAGGUGCCAUCCUAGAAGCAGAGAGCAGACCCUUACCAGACAACCAACCAGCUGGUGCCAUGAUCUUGGACUUCUCGGCCUCCAGAACUGCACUUAAACACGCAGCAUGAGGAAAAUGGAACAACAAUCUUGAGGUGCCUUCUGAAUCAUCAGAUUAAAUUAUGCUUCGGUCUUGCACUGCUGCCUAGGCUAGAGUGCAGUGGUGCAAUCAGGGCUCACUGCAGCCUCACUCAACUUCCCAGUCUCAAGCCAUCCUCCUACCUCAGCCUCUGUUCCACUAAUCUACUUGUCAAUUUUUCCAGCAACACCACACCCUCCUGAUCACCAUAGCUUUAUGCAACAACAAGAAACAAAUUUAUUAGCUAACCUAACCACUAAUGACGCAAGAGACAAUUCUAAGGACUUUCAAAACAGCAAAGUAGGAGCAGCUGCUACCUCUAGGGAUGAGGGAGAAACUCAAAAAUGCAUACAAAAACCAUUGCAUGAAAAGUGACUGGAUUUGUACAUAGCGUCAGGAGAUGUGCGUAGUGUCAAAGUAUCUCAUCACACAUUACUUGAUAAUUACAAAUGAGAAAAAUGAACCUUCACAGUGGCAAGACUUGACUUCUACCUCUUUCAAAAAGAUGCAAUUGUCCAAUUAUUGGUGAAAUUGUCAUUUCAUGCUAUUGGCUAUUUGAAAUUCCUCCUCUAAUAAAAUGGGAAUAAAUCACGGAAAAGUUUAUGAUUUAUUGAGUUAUUUUAUGAAGUUCUGAUCUGAGAUAUCACAUUUCUGCAGUUCAGAAUAAAUCACUGAAAUUGACAUCGGCCAGUCUGAAUUUCAAGAAAUUACCUGCUGAAGACAAGAGGGAUCUCUUCUUCAGAUUUGCAGUCUGGGGAAGACACAGCCUCUACUGUACUUUAGAACCUGAGAUAUGGUGGUGGAGGGAGCCCUGGGUCGAGUGGUAAGAUUCACCCUUAGGUUAGUAUUGACGUAAGGUGACGAGGAGCUGUAGACAAAAGAUUGUAACCAUAAGAACUUCAUAGUUUUUGUAUUUUCACCGAGCUUAUAUUUGGUGUGUUUUUUGUCUUUUCUUUAUGAUUAUCAAUAAAAUGCUUGAAAGGAGAU